GGGUUGUGAGGUUAAGCGACUAAGCGUACACGGUGGAUGCCCUGGCAGUCAGAGGCGAUGAAGGACGUGCUAAUCUGCGAUAAGCGUCGGUGAGGUGAUAUGAACCGUUAUAACCGGCGAUUUCCGAAUGGGGAAACCCAGUGUGUUUCGACACACUAUCAUUAACUGAAUCCAUAGGUUAAUGAGGCGAACCGGGGGAACUGAAACAUCUAAGUACCCCGAGGAAAAGAAAUCAACCGAGAUUCCCCCAGUAGCGGCGAGCGAACGGGGAGGAGCCCAGAGCCUGAAUCAGUGUGUGUGUUAGUGGAAGCGUCUGGAAAGGCGUGCGAUACAGGGUGACAGCCCCGUACACAAAAAUGCACAUAUUGUGAGCUCGAUGAGUAGGGCGGGACACGUGGUAUCCUGUCUGAAUAUGGGGGGACCAUCCUCCAAGGCUAAAUACUCCUGACUGACCGAUAGUGAACCAGUACCGUGAGGGAAAGGCGAAAAGAACCCCGGCGAGGGGAGUGAAAAAGAACCUGAAACCGUGUACGUACAAGCAGUGGGAGCCUCUUAAUGGGGUGACUGCGUACCUUUUGUAUAAUGGGUCAGCGACUUAUAUUCUGUAGCAAGGUUAACCGAAUAGGGGAGCCGAAGGGAAACCGAGUCUUAACUGGGCGUUAAGUUGCAGGGUAUAGACCCGAAACCCGGUGAUCUAGCCAUGGGCAGGUUGAAGGUUGGGUAACACUAACUGGAGGACCGAACCGACUAAUGUUGAAAAAUUAGCGGAUGACUUGUGGCUGGGGGUGAAAGGCCAAUCAAACCGGGAGAUAGCUGGUUCUCCCCGAAAGCUAUUUAGGUAGCGCCUCGUGAAUUCAUCUCCGGGGGUAGAGCACUGUUUCGGCAAGGGGGUCAUCCCGACUUACCAACCCGAUGCAAACUGCGAAUACCGGAGAAUGUUAUCACGGGAGACACACGGCGGGUGCUAACGUCCGUCGUGAAGAGGGAAACAACCCAGACCGCCAGCUAAGGUCCCAAAGUCAUGGUUAAGUGGGAAACGAUGUGGGAAGGCCCAGACAGCCAGGAUGUUGGCUUAGAAGCAGCCAUCAUUUAAAGAAAGCGUAAUAGCUCACUGGUCGAGUCGGCCUGCGCGGAAGAUGUAACGGGGCUAAAC
rnacentral:rRNA from 1 species